UGGGGAAUAUUGCACAAUGUGCGCAAGCCUGAUGCAGCCAUGCCGCGUGUAUGAAGAAGGCCUUCGGGUUGUAAAGUACUUUCAGCGGGGAGGAAGGGAGUAAAGUUAAUACCUUUGCUCAUUGACGUUACCCGCAGAAGAAGCACCGGCUAACUCCGUGCCAGCAGCCGCGGUAAUACGGAGGGUGCAAGCGUUAAUCGGAAUUACUGGGCGUAAAGCGCACGCAGGCGGUUUGUUAAGUCAGAUGUGAAAUCCUCGGGCUCAACCUGGGAACUGCAUCUGAUACUGGCAAGCUUGAGUCUCGUAGAGGGGGGUAGAAUUACAGGUGUAGCGGUGAAAUGCGUAGAGAUCUGGAGGAAUACCGGUGGCGAAGGCGGCCCCCUGGACGAAGACUGAAGCUCAGGUGCGAAAGAGUGGGGAGCAAACAGG
rnacentral:rRNA from 1 species